GCAGAGCAACUCCUACGGGAGGCAGCAGUGGGGAAUAUUGCACAAUGGGCGCAAGCCUGAUGCAGCCAUGCCGCGUGUAUGAAGAAGGCUUCGGGUUGUAAAGUACUUUCAGCAGUGAGGAAGGUGGGUAUGUUAAUAGCAUACUCAUUUGACGUUAGCUGCAGAAGAAGCACCGGCUAACUCCGUGCCAGCAGCCGCGGUAAUACGGAGGGUGCGAGCGUUAAUCGGAAUUACUGGGCGUAAAGCGCAUGCAGGUGGUUUGUUAAGUCAGAUGUGAAAGCCCGGGGCUCAACCUCGGAAUUGCAUUUGAAACUGGCAAACUAGAGUACUGUAGAGGGGGUAGAAUUUCAGGUGUAGCGGUGAAAUGCGUAGAGAUCUGAAGGAAUACCGGUGGCGAAGGCGGCCCCCUGGACAGAUACUGACACUCAGAUGCGAAAGCGUGGGGAGCAAACAGGAUUAGAUACCCUGGUAG
rnacentral:rRNA from 1 species